GCAGUAGGGAAUUUUCGUCAAUGGGGGGAACCCUGAACGAGCAAUGCCGCGUGAGUGAAGAAGGUCUUCGGAUCGUAAAGCUCUGUUGUAAGAGAAAAACGACAUUCAUAGGGAAUGAUGAGUGAGUGAUGGUAUCUUACCAGAAAGUCACGGCUAACUACGUGCCAGCAGCCGCGGUAAUAC
rnacentral:rRNA from 1 species